rnacentral:rRNA from 1 species
AUUGAACGCUGGCGGCAGGCUUAACACAUGCAAGUCGAGCGGAGUGAUGGUGCUUGCACUAUCACUUAGCGGCGGACGGGUGAGUAAUGCUUAGGAAUCUGCCUAUUAGUGGGGGACAACAUCUCGAAAGGGAUGCUAAUACCGCAUACGUCCUACGGGAGAAAGCAGGGGAUCACUCGUGACCUUGCGCUAAUAGAUGAGCCUAAGUCGGAUUAGCUAGUUGGUGGGGUAAAGGCCUACCAAGGCGACGAUCUGUAGCGGGUCUGAGAGGAUGAUCCGCCACACUGGGACUGAGACACGGCCCAGACUCCUACGGGAGGCAGCAGUGGGGAAUAUUGGACAAUGGGGGGAACCCUGAUCCAGCCAUGCCGCGUGUGUGAAGAAGGCCUUAUGGUUGUAAAGCACUUUAAGCGAGGAGGAGGCUCUUUUGGUUAAUACCCAAGAUGAGUGGACGUUACUCGCAGAAUAAGCACCGGCUAACUCUGUGCCAGCCGCCGCCGUAAUAC